rnacentral:rRNA from 1 species
UACAGAGGGGGCAAGCGUUAUUCGGAAUUAUUGGGCGUAAGGGGCGCGUAGGCGGCUUGGCAAGUGGAUGGUGAAAUCCCUCGGCUUAACCGAGGAACUGCCGUCCAAACUGCUUCGCUUGAGACCGGGAGAGGUGAGUGGAAUUCCCAGUGUAGCGGUGAAAUGCGUAGAUAUUGGGAGGAACACCAGUGGCGAAGGCGGCUCACUGGACCGGUACUGACGCUGAUGCGCGAAAGCGUGGGGAGCAAACAGG